rnacentral:rRNA from 1 species
AACGAACGCUGGCGGCAGGCUUAACACAUGCAAGUCGAACGAGACCUUCGGGUCUAGUGGCGCACGGGUGCGUAACGCGUGGGAAUCUGCCCUUGGGUUCGGAAUAACAGUUAGAAAUGACUGCUAAUACCGGAUGAUGACGUAAGUCCAAAGAUUUAUCGCCCAAGGAUGAGCCCGCGUAGGAUUAGCUAGUUAGUAAGGUAAAGGCUUACCAAGGCGACGAUCCUUAGCUGGUCUGAGAGGAUGAUCAGCCACACUGGGACUGAGACACGGCCCAGACUCCUACGGGAGGCAGCAGUGGGGAAUAUUGGACAAUGGGCGAAAGCCUGAUCCAGCAAUGCCGCGUGAGUGAUGAAGGCCUUAGGGUUGUAAAGCUCUUUUACCAGGGAUGAUAAUGACAGUACCUGGAGAAUAAGCUCCGGCUAACUCCGUGCCAGCCGCCGCCGUAA